GAAGUGGGGGGGAAGGGAGGGGGAGGGGAAAGCGGCCGUUAAUCUGAGACUCGGUCGGUGUCCUCCCCACACCCUCACGCUCCCGCUCCUCCCUAUCCUCUCGCCCUCCCGCUCACCCCUUUCUGCCCUUUCUGUUCCGGGCCUUGGAGUUGUAAUCGGCGCCUCUCACUCCCCCUGGGGAUGGGGUGGGGUGGGGGGGAAAAAAGAGAGGAAUUUGGGGUGGGAAGGGGAUUGGGGAGAGAGAGAGGGAGGGAGGGAAGGAAGGAAGGAAGGAAGGAAGGGGAGAGGGAAGGGCACGCGGGCGCCGAGGCCGAGCCUGGGGGUCCGAGCGCGAGGCGCGGAACUCGGGAGGGGGAGGCGGGGUUCCCUCACACGCAAGCCUCGCCACCUCCCCCCUUCCUCCACGCGCGGAUGGUGGAAGAAGACAGGGUGGGGGGAGUGGAGAUUUGGUGAAAGAGCUACGUAGGUUUCCAUGUACUGUCAAACGGGGUGUUUCCUAACGAAAAAAAAAAAGGUGUCUGGACCACCCUGGCGUCCUCUUGUCUAUCCGCCUGUCGGAGUGGUGCCGAAGCCCUCCCCCGGUCCCCUUUGGACUGGGCCCACUCCUGUGCCCAGUUUUAAAGACAAGAGGCGAAUAUGUGCAUGUAGAGUGAUGAAGCUAUGUGUUUUCACGCAAGGUAGAGUGCACUGGAGCUGGGGAAGAAAGGGGGGGGGGGUCUCAGUCUGGUACAGGAGGAUGUAAUUUGUCAGCAUCUCGUAGGUUCCCUGCAUAUAUUUGUGAGUGCACCUUCACACAGCUUGGCGCCGCGUAAACGCUUCUCCCACGUCUCGGUAUUACCAUUCGUCCCUGCCGGCCUGUCUCCUUCCCUUUGGCGCCCUCUCUGCCUCGCGCGCGCGCGUUAAGCUAUUUGUGGACACCUCGACUUGCAAGCCUAGACCUUUGUGGUCGAGUUGUGUAGGGAGCGUCUCGCGCACUCCGACGGAGGAAUUUCCUGCGGAACCCGCCGCGCCAGCGUCGUCGCCACUCCUCCUACACCCCCCCCCACCCCCCAAAGAGAAAUCUGGCUGAGCGCGUGCGCGAGUUCGCUGGUCGGCCUCCUGUUUUUUAUACUUUUAAAAGAAAGCCUCUAAAAAACACUCCGCUAGCUUCGCUGGGGGCCCGUCGGGGUGGGCGUCACAUGAUCUGCGCACGUAGUUGUAAAGUCCGAAGACGCGUGCGCAGGAAGGAGCCGACGGCAACUGAGAAAAGAAUACGAUAGCUGGCUGGUCACGCCCCUUUCCUGGGGUCUUUCUCGGUCCCGCCUCCUGUCCGAGGUGGAGAAAGCGAGGGGAGUCCGGGGAAAUCGGGAGGGGCACUUUAAUUUGUGCGCCUGCGUGGGGUGAGGUGCGUGGCAUCUGUCUUUCGGCUAAGGUGGGUAACUUGGGCAGGUAUUCGUUCUCGGCCGAACCUCGCGAGGAUCCUUUUCGUCUCUUGAGUGAGGUCGGAGGGUAAAAGGCUCUGCCUAAACUGCUGGCUACUCUGGCGACCACCACUUCGGGGCGGGGUUAGUCCAGGGCCUUUGACGGGCCGUUAGCCACUGUGCCCAGCCCUGCCCCUGGGACGUCUUGCAGAGACUCCGCGCACACUAGAUUCUGCCCUGGCUCCCAAACCCCGGCUCGCUCCUAGAGAUGUCAGCCAGUUAGAUUCUACGCGCCCCGUGGGCUUCAGCUAAAUGUCCGGCGCUUUGCUUUUGCUGCUUCUGCUUCUUUCUCCCUAACUGAAUGAGAUAGUCAGGAUUGCAACAUCCUUGCCCCAUGCCCCUAUCCUAUCCUCUCUUGGGCUGGGGCCCUGAGGUAGCCGAGGUCAAGAAGCUGACUUUUGUUUCUUCUCUAAAUAUGUAACGGAUUUUGCUGCAACUUAUUCAUCCUCCAUAGAAAUAAAUUGUUUUCCCCUGAGCAUUUUCUGGUAGUGGUCUUAGCCUUGAUCCUGUGCACCAUUCAAUAAAGUCCCACCAGUUUUGUUUUAUCUUUUUAUCUCGACUUCUUCCCCCAUCCCAAAGCAAAAGUGCAAAAAAAAUAAAAGGACAGUGGGAGGGAAUGAAGAUCCGGUAGACCUUCAGUCUUCUGUCUGCUCGUGUCCACACACCCACAAGACUGAAUAUAAAAAGCAUAAAUGUAGAAGUAUAAAAUGACGGUGGAGAAUUGGAAGGAGCAGAGGGGAAAAUGAAAGAACAGUCAACAGAUAUACUAAAGAGUUCCUGGUGUCAGCUGACAACAUCACUGGACUUCUCAGACAACUGAGGGAAGACCCUAAAUUGUGGUGAUAGCCCUACCAUCAGCAGAAGUUGGAACGAGACCAUAAGCCUUUCCUCCAGCUGAGAGCACGCCAAGGGAUCAGACAUACCAACAGAAGAAUGACUUCCAGACUGUGAAGACUAUUACAAAACAGUUAAGAAGGAAAUGAAGUCCUGUGCACUGAGCCUUAUAGGCCAAGAGCUAUCCUGUCAGCUGCUUAAGGACUUUUGAGGAAUGAAGAGACUGGAAGACAUGGGAUGGAAGUCAUUAAUCUACCAGAGUCAAACCAGAAACUCAGAAAUAUUUCUCUGCUUCAGUUACUAUGUGGGUACAUCAGGUAUGGUCAUAUUAUGUACACAGCCUGCCCCAAAGGGUAGAAAUACAGAGUUGGCAUGAAAAGGACAUAGUCAGCUACUUUUGUACCAUGAGUGAGAUCCAAGAACCACGUUAGAAGCUCAGUGAGCUCCUAGAUACCAGCUGACUCUAAUCUAAGGACAGAGAGGCACCCAGACACCAAGCCACAACACAGGACUUUGUAAACAAUGUUUCAUGCUUCACAACUCUAUUUGUACCCAUUAUCAUCUGUUUCCAAUGUAUGACUAAGUUUGAGACUUGCCAUGACCUGAGAAUUUCUGACAGAUGUCACUAGAAUGGUGCCUCUGUGGGUAGAUGGAAUUUAUUCAAAUUCUGACCCUUGUAAGAUACUUCUCCCUUGUAGUACUCUAGUGGCAGACCCUCAGACUUUUGUGUCUUAGCUGGUCAGGGUCAACUGGGUCCCAGAUUAACCUAAUGGAACCUGUGAUUGAGAAUAUGGAUCAGAUGGUCACUAAUAGGAACAACUACUGAAGAAAAGAGCACUUUGCAAAUUAUAUCCUCUCUACUUUCCUCUCUCUCUUCUUCCCACAGAGCAUCUAGCCUCAGCUCAACUUUUCUCUAUUAGAGAGAUAUAAAGUUUGGGGGUAGGGUGGGAAGAAUAGACUCUCUGCCAUCUUCUGGACUGCAUUAAGAUAACAGACCCAUUUACCCUGCUUUAGGUACACUACUCUUUUGGGGGCUAAAUUCUUGAGCCCAAUUAGAUCAUUUGGGUUUCUUUGCUAAUGAUUGUAUGCAAAUGACAUGAAUAUUAGAGAAUAAUAAAACAUAGUGGGGAGGGUAGUGGAAAGAGAGGAACUUUCUGUGAUUCUGAAGUGAAAGUGGCAUUGGAAAGAUUCAUUAUAGAUUUGUCAAAGUGCCCUAGCAAUACAUGAUGGGUACUGAUAGAUGGGUACAGAGAAAGAGCGAGAAAUUGAUGGAUUAUACUCCUGUACAUGGGUCUUAAGUAUAGUAAAGGGCAGCAGGGUGAAAUGAUUUCUUUUUUUGAGGAAAAAUGUUAUAAUCUAUCUAUCUAUCUACACAAAAGAUAUUGCUUGGAUCUGAAUUUUGUAUAUGUAUAUAUAAAAUUUUGAAUUUGAAAUAUAAAUAAAAAUCAUGUUUAAAAAGG